rnacentral:rRNA from 1 species
GACGAAACGCUGGCGGCGUGCCUCAAACAUGCAAGUCGAGCGAGGUGAGACCGAACCGCAAGGUGAGGUUGAACCUAGCGGCGAACGGGUGAGUAACACGUGGGUAACCUGCCUGGAAGAUUGGGAUAACGGCUCGAAAGAGUCGCUAAUACCGGAUAAUGUCCUGGUGCUGCAUGGCACCGGGAAGAAAGGGGAAACCCGCUUUCAGAUGGGCCCGCGCCCCAUCAGCUAGUUGGUAAGGUAACGGCUUACCAAGGCGACGACGGGUAGCCGGUCUGAGAGGACGAUCGGCCACACUGGGACUGAGAUACGGGCCCAGACUCCUACGGGAGGCAGCAGUUGGGAAUCUUAGGCAAUGGGCGAAAGCCUGACCUAGCGACGCCGCGUGAGGGAAGAAGGGCCUUCGGGGUCGUAAACCUCUGUCAUGGGGGACGAAGAAAGUGACGGUACCCCAGGAGGAAGCCCCUGCUAACUACGUG